AGAAGUAAUCUGAGAGGUAGUAAGAACAAGGCCACCAGAGACAACCUUACUCGGAUGACUAGGAGACAAAAUAAGAGCUGGUGAAGAUGAAGACUGGUUACUAGCAAGAGCAGCAGAAGCAGGUCCUGUCCGAACUUGAGGGGCACCACUAGGAGACAAAAUAAGACCUGGUGAAGAUGAAGACUGGUUACUAGCAAGAGCAGCAGAAGCAGGUUCUGUUUGAACUUGACGGUCACCACUGAUCAGCUCCUGCUCCUCGGUAAUUACACCCUUUUUUCUCUUUCUUGGUUUCUGAGUACUAGCUGCACUCUUAGAAGAAGAAAUGGCUGCCUU
rnacentral:lncRNA from 1 species